rnacentral:rRNA from 1 species
UACGUAGGUGGCAAGCGUUAUCCGGAAUUACUGGGCGUAAAGCGCACGCAGGCGGUCUUUUAAGUUUGACGUGAAAGCUCCCGGCUUAACUGGGAGAGGUCGUUGAAGACUGGGAGACUUGAGGCAAUGAGAGGGGUGUAGAAUUCCCGGUGUAGUGGUGGAAUGCGUAGAUAUCGGGGGGAAUACCAGUGGCAAAAGCGGCACCCUAGCGUUAGCCUGACGCUCAUGUGCGAAAGCGUGGGGAGCGAACGGG